rnacentral:rRNA from 1 species
GGCCUUAUGAGAAUAAUUUAAGGUCGAGCCUGCCCACUGAGGAUUUAAAUGGCUGCGGUACUCUGACCGUACAAAGGUAGCAUAAUAAUUAGUUUUUUAAUUGAAAGCUGGAAUGAAUGGUUUUAUGAAAAAAUUACUGUCUCUUUUUAAUUGUUUUAGAAUUUUAUCUUUAAGUAAAAAAGCUUAAAUUUUGUUGAAAGACGAGAAGACCCUAUAGAGUUUUAUAAUUUUUUUUUUCAUUGUUUUUAGAAUAUUUAUUUUUGAGAAAUAAUCUUAUUUGGUUGGGGCGAUUGAAAAAUUAGAUAAACUUUUUCUUUAUUAUAACAUUGAUUUAUGAAUAUUUGAUCCAUUCUUGAUUAUAAGAAUAAAUUACCUUAGGGAUAACAGCGUAAUCUUUCUUGAGAGUUCAAAUCGAAAGAAGGGGUUGCGACCUCGAUGUUGGAUUAAAAUUAAAUUUUGGUGUAGAAGCUAAAAGAUUAGGUCUGUUCGACCUUUAAAAUUUUACAUGAUCUGAGUUUAGACCGGCGUGAGCCAGGUUGGUUUCUAUCUUUAAUUAUUAAAGAUGACUUAGUACGAGAGGACCAGUUAUCUAAUAAAUUAUUUAUUUAUUGAAUAUUAUUAUUGUUUUGGCAGAAUAGUGCGAUUGAUUUAGAAUCAUUAUAUGUAAUUUUUACAAACAAUACUUGUUGAUAAAAGAUAUAAUUUUAAUUUUAAUUUCUGUUAUUAUUUUAGUGGUAUGUGUCUUGGUUGGAGUAGCUUUUUUACCAUUGAUGGAGCGAAAAGUCUU